rnacentral:rRNA from 1 species
AUUGAACGCUGGCGGCAUGCUUUACACAUGCAAGUCGAACGGUAACAGGCCGCAAGGUGCUGACGAGUGGCGAACGGGUGAGUAAUGCAUCGGAACGUGCCCAGUCGUGGGGGAUAACUAUCCGAAAGGAUAGCUAAUACCGCAUACGAUCUGCGGAUGAAAGCGGGGGACCUUCGGGCCUCGCGCGAUUGGAGCGGCCGAUGUCAGAUUAGGUAGUUGGUGGGGUAAAGGCUAACCAAGCCAAUGAUCUGUAGCUGGUCUGAGAGGACGACCAGCCACACUGGGACUGAGACACGGCCCAGACUCCUACGGGAGGCAGCAGUGGGGAAUUUUGGACAAUGGGCGCAAGCCUGAUCCAGCAAUGCCGCGUGCAGGAAGAAGGCCUUCGGGUUGUAAACUGCUUUUGUACGGAGCGAAAAGGCUCCCUCUAAUACAGGGGGCUCAUGACGGUACCGUAAGAAUAAGCACCGGCUAACUACGUGCCAGCCGCCGCAGUAA